UACGUAGGGUGCGAGCGUUGUCCGGAAUUACUGGGCGUAAAGAGCUCGUAGGUGGUUUGUCGCGUUGUCCGUGAAAACUCACAACUCAAUUGUGGGCGUGCGGGCGAUACGGGCAGACUGGAGUACUGCAGGGGAGACUGGAAUUCCUGGUGUAGCGGUGAAAUGCGCAGAUAUCAGGAGGAACACCGGUGGCGAAGGCGCCACUCUGGGCCGGUACUGACGCUGAGGAGCGAAAGCGGUGGGUAGCAAACAGG
rnacentral:rRNA from 1 species